AAUAUAUAAGUAGAAUAUGUGUGUGUGUGUAUGUAUGUGUGUGUGUAUAUAUAUAUAUACACACACACACACACACACACACACACACAUAUAUAAUACG
rnacentral:miRNA from 1 species